rnacentral:rRNA from 1 species
CAAGUCGAACGGACUCAUAUUGAAACCUAGUGAUUUAUGAGUUAGUGGCGGACGGGUGAGUAACGCGUGGAUAACCUGCCGUAUACCGGGGGAUAACACUUAGAAAUAGGUGCUAAUACCGCAUAAGCGCACGGCUCCGCAUGGGGCAGUGUGAAAAACUCCGGUGGUAUACGAUGGAUCCGCGUCUGAUUAGCUAGUUGGCGGGGUAACGGCCCACCAAGGCAGCGAUCAGUAGCCGGCCUGAGAGGGUGGACGGCCACAUUGGGACUGAGACACGGCCCAAACUCCUACGGGAGGCAGCAGUGGGGAAUAUUGCACAAUGGGGGAAACCCUGAUGCAGCGACGCCGCGUGAGUGAAGAAGUAUCUCGGUACGUAAAGCUCUAUCAGCAGGGAAGAAAAUGACGGUACCUGACUAAGAAGCCCCGGCUAACUACGUGCCAGCAGCCGCGGUAAUACGUAGGGGGCAAGCGUUAUCCGGAUUUACUGGGUGUAAAGGGAGCGUAGACGGCAGCACAAGUCUGGAGUGAAAUCCCGGGGCUUAACCCCGGAACUGCUUUGGAAACUGUGCGGCUGGAGUGCAGGAGGGGUAAGCGGAAUUCCUAGUGUAGCGGUGAAAUGCGUAGAUAUUAGGAGGAACACCGGUGGCGAAGGCGGCUUACUGGACUGUAACUGACGUUGAGGCUCGAAAGCGUGGGGAGCAAACAGGAUUAGAUACCCUGGUAGUCCACGCCGUAUACGAUGAUUACUAGGUGUCGGGGGAUCAAGGUCCUCCGGUGCCGGCGCAA